rnacentral:rRNA from 1 species
GACGAACGCUGGCGGCGUGCUUAACACAUGCAAGUCGAACGGAAAGGCCCUGCUUUUGUGGGGUGCUCGAGUGGCGAACGGGUGAGUAACAAGUGAGUAACCUGCCCUUGACUUUGGGAUAACUUCAGGAAACUGGGGCUAAUACCGGAUAGGAGCUCCUGCUGCAUGGUGGGGGUUGGAAAGUUUCGGCGGUUGGGGAUGGACUCGCGGCUUAUCAGCUUGUUGGUGGGGUAGUGGCUUACCAAGGCUUUGACGGGUAGCCGGCCUGAGAGGGUGACCGGCCACAUUGGGACUGAGAUACGGCCCAGACUCCUACGGGAGGCAGCAGUGGGGAAUAUUGCACAAUGGGCGGAAGCCUGAUGCAGCAACGCCGCGUGCGGGAUGACGGCCUUCGGGUUGUAAACCGCUUUCGCCUGUGACGAAGCGCGAGUGACGGUAAUGGGUAAAGAAGCACCGGCUAACUACGUG